CUCGGGUCGGACAAACAAUAAACCUCAGUUUCACCUUGGUCGGACAGAAUGUCCGGUGGUUUCCUUUCUACGUCGGACAAUUUCAUGAAUGGGUCGGACAAUGUCCGUGACCGACCGAUAUUUUAAAGCCUGUACUUGGGAAUGACCAAAUCUUCCCAUGAGUUAAAUUCCGUUAACGGUAGGAAGAUGCCAUUUCCUAUCUUCUAGAUUGAAACAUCAC
rnacentral:lncRNA from 1 species